rnacentral:rRNA from 1 species
UACGGAGGGUGCAAACGUUGCUCGGAAUUAUUGGGCGUAAAGCGCGUGUAGGCGGUUUGUUAAGUCGAGUGUGAAAGCCCUGGGCUCAACCCAGGAAGUGCGCUCGAUACUGGCAAACUUGAGUACGGGAGAGGGUAGUGGAAUUCCCGGUGUAGAGGUGAAAUUCGUAGAUAUCGGGAGGAACACCAGUGGCGAAGGCGGCUACCUGGACCGAUACUGACGCUGAGACGCGAAAGCGUGGGUAGCAAACAGG